rnacentral:rRNA from 1 species
CAGUCGAGCGGUAGCACAAAGAGCUUGCUCUCGGGUGACGAGCGGCGGACGGGUGAGUAAUGUCUGGGAAACUGCCUGAUGGAGGGGGAUAACUACUGGAAACGGUAGCUAAUACCGCAUAACGUCGCAAGACCAAAGUGGGGGACCUUCGGGCCUCAUGCCAUCAGAUGUGCCCAGAUGGGAUUAGCUAGUAGGUGGGGUAACGGCUCACCUAGGCGACGAUCCCUAGCUGGUCUGAGAGGAUGACCAGCCACACUGGAACUGAGACACGGUCCAGACUCCUACGGGAGGCAGCAGUGGGGAAUAUUGCACAAUGGGCGCAAGCCUGAUGCAGCCAUGCCGCGUGUGUGAAGAAGGCCUUCGGGUUGUAAAGCACUUUCAGCGGGGAGGAAGGCGAUAAGGUUAAUAACCUUGUCGAUUGACGUUACCCGCAGAAGAAGCACCGGCUAACUCCGUGCCAGCAGCCGCGGUAAUACGGAGGGUGCAAGCGUUAAUCGGAAUUACUGGGCGUAAAGCGCACGCAGGCGGUCUGUCAAGUCGGAUGUGAAAUCCCCGGGCUCAACCUGGGAACUGCAUUCGAAACUGGCAGGCUAGAGUCUUGUAGAGGGGGGUAGAAUUCCAGGUGUAGCGGUGAAAUGCGUAGAGAUCUGGAGGAAUACCGGUGGCGAAGGCGGCCCCCUGGACAAGACUGACGCUC